CUUAACUACCUAAUAACUAAACAAUAUAAAUUAAAUAAGAUAGACCUAACACUAAAAAUUAAAUCAUUCUUUUACCUGAGUAUGGGCGACAGAAAAGGUUCCACAAAGCAAUAGAAAUAGUACCGCAGGGGAAAGCUGAAAGAGAAAUGAAAUAACCCAUAUCAGCCAUAAAAAGCAAAGAUUAAACCUU
rnacentral:rRNA from 1 species